rnacentral:rRNA from 1 species
GGUUAACGCUGGCGGCAUGCCUUACACAUGCAAGUCGAACGGUAACGGGCCUUCGGGUGCCGACGAGUGGCGAACGGGUGAGUAAUGUAUCGGAACGUACCUUUCAGUGGGGGAUAACGUAGCGAAAGUUACGCUAAUACCGCAUAUUCUGUGAGCAGGAAAGCAGGGGAUCGCAAGACCUUGCGCUGAUUGAGCGGCCGAUAUCAGAUUAGCUAGUUGGUGAGGUAAAGGCUCACCAAGGCGACGAUCUGUAGCGGGUCUGAGAGGAUGAUCCGCCACACUGGAACUGAGACACGGUCCAGACUCCUACGGGAGGCAGCAGUGGGGAAUUUUGCGCAAUGGGGGAAACCCUGACGCAGCGACGCCGCGUGGAGGAUGACGGCCUUCGGGUUGUAAACUCCUGUCAGAAGGGACGAAUCCCGCAAGGGACUGACGGUACCUUCAGAGGAAGCCCCGGCUAACUACGUGCCAGCAGCCGCGGUAAGGAGUAGUACA